AAGGAGCACCACGAAAAGCACCCCAACUGGUGGGGUGCGAGCCGUGAGGGGUUCCCGUCUGUAGUGGACGGGGCCGGGUGCGCAACAGCAAAUGAUUGCCAGACACACUAUUGGGCCCUGAGACAACACUCGGUCCGUCCGUGUGGAGUCCCUCCAUCUUGGUGGUGGGGUGUGGUGUUUGAGUAUUGGAUAGUGGUUGCGAGCAUCUAGAUGAGCGCAUGGUCUUCGUGGCCGGCGUUCAUCGAAAUGUGUAAUUUCUUUUUUAACUCUUGUGUGU
rnacentral:misc_RNA from 1 species